UUAGGUAGCCAAAGACCACAAUUCUGCCUAAC
rnacentral:piRNA from 1 species